GAUGAACGCUGGCGGCGUGCUUAACACAUGCAAGUCGAACGAAGAAGAGUUGAAUGAGAGCUUCGGCAGGAUUUCUUCUCAUCUUAGUGGCGGACGGGUGAGUAACGUGUGGGCAACCUGCCCUGUACUGUGGAAUAAUCACUGGAAACGGUGACUAAUACCGCAUGUCAUCUUCGGAAGGCAUCUUCUGAAGAAAAAAGGAGCAAUUCGGUACAGGAUGGGCCCGCAUCUGAUUAGCUAGUUGGUGAGAUAACAGCCCACCAAGGCGACGAUCAGUAGCCGACCUGAGAGGGUGAUCGGCCACAUUGGGACUGAGACACGGCCCAAACUCCUACGGGAGGCAGCAGUGGGGAAUAUUGCACAAUGGGGGAAACCCUGAUGCAGCAACGCCGCGUGAAGGAUGAAGGUUUUCGGAUCGUAAACUUCUAUCAACAGGGAAGAAACAAAUGACGGUACCUGAAUAAGAAGCCCCGGCUAACUACGUGCCAGCCGCCGCAGUAAUAC
rnacentral:rRNA from 1 species